CGUGGAUUGAUUUGUCUGGUUAAUUCCGAUAACGAACGAGAUUGGAGCUUAAUUAAAUAGAAAGGUCAUUUUUAUCUUUUUUCCUUUACCGGUUAAAAGCGUGACUCUUUUCUUCUUAAUGGGAUUUGCGGCGUUCCAGUCGUAAGAAACCCAGCAAUAACAGGUCUGUGAUGCCCUAAGAUGUCUGGGGCUGCACGCGCGCUACAAUGAAAAUUGCAGCGCGUGUGACCAUAACCGAAAGGUUUUGGUAAACGAGUCAAAUUAUUCCGUAUUUGGGAUUGAAAAUUGUAAUUAUUUUUCAUGAACGAGGAACUUCAAGUAAGUGUAAGUCAUCAGCUUACGCUGAAUACGUCCCUGCCCUUUGUACUG
rnacentral:rRNA from 1 species